GGUAGGUCUCCAGGUCCUCUAGACCAGAGGCUGUCACAGACACUGAGCUCCGGUUGGUCUCCAGGUCCUCUAGACCAGAGGCUGUUACAGACACUGAGCUCCGGUAGGUCUCCAGAGGCUGUUACAGACACUGAGCUCCGGUAGGUCUCCAGGUCCUCUAGACCAGAGGCUGUUACAGACACUGAGCUCCGGUAGGUCUCCAGGUCCUCUAGACCAGAGGCUGUUACAGACACUGAGCUCCGGUAGGUCUCCAGGUCCUCA